CACGCCCGUCACACCAUGGGAGUUGAUUGCACCAGAAGCAGGUAGCCUAACCGCAAGGAGGGCGCCUACCACGGUGUGGUCAAUGACUGGGGUG
rnacentral:rRNA from 1 species